UGGUGGAGUGAUUUGUCUGGUUAAUUCCGUUAACGAACGAGACCUCAUCUUACUAAAUAGUAAUUAUUAAUCAUUUGAUUAGUAAGACUACUUCUUAGAAGGACUGUUGGGAAUGAAAACCAAAGGAAGCUUGAGGCGAUAACA
rnacentral:rRNA from 1 species